ensembl:lncRNA
CUGGGAUUCUCCAGGCAAGAACACUGGAGUGGGUUGCCAUUUCCUUCUCCAAUGCAUGAAAGAGAAAAGUGAAAGUGAAGUCGCUCAGUCGUGUCUGACUCUUCGAGACCCUAUGGACUGCAGCCUACCAGGCUCCUCUGUCCAUGGGAUUUUCCAGGAAACAAGUUAAGACACUGUAACUGUGCACCAGGAAGGCAUCAGAUGUAAUAUACAGAUAAAGUAGCUUCCUCACAGAAGUAUCCAUUUGGAAAGUUUGUUACCACACAGAAAAAAAAAUGUACAAUGUUAAGAACUAACCAUAAGGAAAAGUGAAAUUAAAUGCUGAAAUGCCUCCUUCUGAAAGUCUGCGGGAAGGUGACAGUGCUGGCUACCACACGCCCCUCCCGACGGCAUCCGCUGCAGGAGCGCUGUUGUCAGGCUUGUCCACUACGAUGAAUUAUGCAUAACCGGAGGGUUAGUUCUUGGCAUGGAAAAAGUGUGACAUGUUAGAUUAAAAUUAAAUAUUGAGCAGGCGUCUUCCUAGAGAAAUGAAUCAAAGAAAGAUGCUUCUUUAUCACCAGUGAGUCUGGAAGCUUCCUGUUGUGAGUCUUUGCAAAAGGAUUCACAAAGGAAUGACUGUCACAAC